rnacentral:rRNA from 1 species
UACGUAGGAGGCAAGCGUUGUCCGGAAUUACUGGGCGUAAAGCGCGUGUAGGUGGUGGGACAAGUCUGCUGUGAAAGCGCCUGGCUUAACCGGGCGAGGUCGGCGGAAACUGUCGCACUCGAGGACGGUAGAGGGGGGUGGAAUUCCCGGUGUAGUGGUGAAAUGCGUAGAGAUCGGAAAGAACACCAACGGCGAAAGCACUCUGCUGGGCCGACACUGACACUGAGAGACGAAAGCUAGGGGAGCGAAUGGG